GGAGAUGAAUUAAUAAAGUUUGAUUUCUAUAGCCAUCUUUGGGCACCACCAUGCAACUAGCCAUUAUCACUGAACUUUUGCGAUGAGAAGAUAUCUAGCUGAAGCUGCACAAACAUGAAGACCAAAUCGUUGCAAAUAGCAGAUAUACGAUGUACAGGACCAGUGAAACUAAUCAAACAACAACAAAAAAUGGAUUGUAAAAUAUGGAAAAGUUACUUAAAUAGGCAAAAAACGUGCUUAUCAGUGAAAGACUUAGAGACGAAUAAGGCCAAAAGGCUAAAAGUCUCUACAAAAAAAAAACAACCAACAAAUUUUAAAAAAAGUGAAAGACUGCAGCAAAAUAUGAUGACUGAAUAAAACCCAUAGUACAAAUCUCUUGUAACAAAUCAAUAA